GUACACAAAAGCGCAUGUGCUGUGAGCUCGAUGAGUAGGGCGGGACACGUGGUAUCCUGUCUGAAUAUGGGGGGACCAUCCUCCAAGGCUAAAUACUCCUGACUGACCGAUAGUGAACCAGUACCGUGAGGGAAAGGCGAAAAGAACCCCGGCGAGGGGAGUGAAAAAGAACCUGAAACCGUGUACGUACAAGCAGUGGGAGC
rnacentral:rRNA from 1 species